rnacentral:lncRNA from 1 species
GAUGUCCCCAGAGGGUCAAGUGGAUGUUGUACUAGGCAUUAUGGGUCAACUGUCUGGGUCUGUGAUGGACCCUCCAAUGAGUCACAUGGAAGUUGUAGCUUCCAACACACCAAGCAGCCAUGCUCUCAGACCCAUGCAGGAUCAACGUCGGGACCCACAGUGGCAGCCAGUAGCUGGGAAAGUCCGCCAGGAGCUGAGGCCUCUAUGCCUGAGAGAUUGUUGCUGUAGAGCUGACCACCAUCUUCAGGGCAGGCGUGGUCAUACAGGAUGGGGUAAACUGAGGCACCUGCACAGUCCAGCUCAAGAAUGUGCUCAGCAAAUCCUAGCUGGUAGAUCUCAGAACUCUUGUCACUAUAAGAUCCUGGACCAGGGAGUCCCAACAUCCAUGGCUGAGUCCUCCCUCCUCUGAGUAAGGUGGAAACACAGGGUCUUACCGUUCCCAGCAAUGGGCACGUCCUUUCGGAUCAUCAUGGGUGCCGGGCAGACAUGGGGAAACUGUGCCAGCAGAUACAUCUGUGAGUGGACUGAAGAAACCCCAGCUGGGCAAGCAGGACUUCUCAGAGGAUUGGCUAGCCCUCAACUCUCAAGAGGUGGGAGACCAGACCAACAUCCCCUUUCCCCACGCUCCCCACUCUUCAUCUUAUUCCUGUCACCAAGACAAGAAUAGGAAGUGGUGUGGCCUGAGCCUGACAGCAUAAACUCUGGAGAACCUGCAAGAACUCAGCCCUGUCACUACUGAAUUUUUGGCUGACGGCUGGACAGACCCCAGUGACUUUCCCUGAGAAGUCAAAACACUCUUUUCUCCUGCAGUGACAGAACUCACUGCAAAUGUGUUCCCACCAGCACAACUCUAUUGAUUUAACCUGUUUCCUAUAGCAUGCUUUCAAGCUGUGUGUGUGUGUGUGUGUGUGUGUGUAUGGCAAAACCUAUUAUUUUUUUAACUUUCUCUCAUUAUACAUUAGGUUUCAUCUUAUGUCUAGAAAAGGGCUUCCUACAUCAGGUAUGUAUAAAAAUAUAUUUUCUUCCCAGGCAGGUAUGAUGGCACAUGCCUUUAGUCCCAGCAGUCAGGAGGCAGAGGCAGGUGGGGAUCUCUGUGAUUUCAAGGUCAACUUGGUUUACAUAGUGAGUUGCAGCCCAGCCAGAGGUACAUAGUGAGACUCAAAUAAUUAACAAUAGUAAUAAUAAUAAUAUUGUUGUUGUUGUUUUUUCUUUUUCUUUUUCCCUCUAGCCCUAGGUGUUUUGUUUUGUUUUUGAAACUGAGAUAGAAGUCUCACAGGUAGGUAGCUGUCUCAAAGCACAAUGAACUAAUCCACCUCCGAGAGGGACACAUUUCUAAACAGCUGAAAGAAGCUAAAAGGAGGGCUCCCAGACAUUAGCAGUAAGGGCCCUGUGUGGGCAGGGUCUCAGGGUACCCCUCAGAUGCCAUGCUCCAGGACCAGACCUAGGAGACCCCAUCCUUGAGUUGGGGUCCUGAGUGAGGAAGAGGGAGUCAUAUCCGGUGUGGCCUGCGGCCCUGUGGCCUGUGGCACGGAGAAUCCCCAAGGACCUGAGCCUCGAGGAGUCGUGGCCAGCCCCCAGGCUCAGGCUGAGGGCGGCUCUUUCCCAGCCUGGCCUGUGGGCUGAUGUCGUCUAAUGCUGUGGUCAGGCCGCGUGGCUGGGCUCCCCAGGCGGGCAGGGCCGCAUAAUGGACGGGUCAGACCCACUCGCUGACGGCUCCAUUAAAUGUGGUCGAUGGUUUUUUUUCUCUCUCUCUCUCUUUCUAUUUUUUUUUUCUUUCUCUUUUCUGUUCUGUUUCCCGGUGUUUUAAGCUGAGUGUCUCUGGGCAGGCGUUCAAAGCUGCGGAGCUAAUCUCAGAGGCAGCGCUGGGGGCAGGUUCGGCUGCAUUAAAUGGCUAAAUCUAGCGCUGGGUGGGCGGGGCUCACUCGAGGAAAGAAUAGCAUCACUGUGGUCUUGGACGUGACUAUAGGAGCCUGGCUGCUCUCCCUGUCCUUCAGGUCACUGGAGGAAGUUGCCAGGCAGCAGUAGGGAUGCUGGGGAGGGGUUCUGGUAAAGAUGGGAAACAUGAGGUUCUGUGCCUUUGUCUUGUGACCUUUAGGAAAUUGUGCCUCCUCUCUGUGCAUUGAAUCAAUCAAUCUUUCUUUCUUUCUUUCUUUCUUUCCUUCCUUCCUUCCUUCCUUCCUUCCUUCCUUCCUUCCUCCCUUCCUUCCUCCUCUUCUUGCUCCUCCUUUUCUAAAGUCACUUCCUUGUGUGGAAUUGGAGUGCUUUAGGGAGCUGGUCCGUCUCUAUAAUAAAGGAAACCCCGAUGUAUCUUUUUGGAGGUGU